UACGUAGGGCGCAAGCGUUAUCCGGAAUUAUUGGGCGUAAAGAGCUCGUAGGCGGUCUGUCGCGUCUGCUGUGAAAACUCGGGGCUUAACCCCGGGCCUGCAGUGGGUACGGGCAGACUAGAGUGCGGUAGGGGAGACUGGAAUUCCUGGUGUAGCGGUGAAAUGCGCAGAUAUCAGGAGGAACACCGGUGGCGAAGGCGGGUCUCUGGGCCGAUACUGACGCUGAGGAGCGAAAGCAUGGGUAGCGAACAGG
rnacentral:rRNA from 1 species